AGGAGCGUCGUAUGUCGACCCGCACGAUGCACGGUCAGCGAUCGAGUGACAGCGCGGGUCUCGUCAGCCGGGCGAUGCGUCGGUUGGUCGGUUCGGUCGCGGUCGUCUGCGCGGCCGAAGAUCGUCGAGAACGGCCGAAGGCAGCCGAGCGCCGAGCUCCAGUAUAGCGGAGCGCUCCGGACGAAACGUAUUCAGUAUAUGUUAAGCAGGCGCGCGCGAUACGAGUUGUCACGUUUACUUUCCGCGAGCGCGCCGUCAUCGCGCAUCGUCGCCGCUGCCGACGACGAUCAGCGUUUUUCUUUCUCUCUCUCUCUCUUUCUCUUUCUCUCUUUCUCUCUCUCUCUCUUCCUCGAUAUGCGUAUAUCGAAUGAUAACGUUGCGCAUUACUUUCGCGUGUCUGGACAUGCAUGAAAUUUGAAAAACCAAGUGCGCGCAACGAUAAGCGGAAAGACGUUCCAUCUUCCUUCUCUUCGGUUUCCGUGACUGGCAGUUUUUAAAAGCCGCGGGUGUUCGAAAGGGAAAAAUGUCGCGACGAAAGUGAAGACUCGAACAAACCGCGUACGUACUUUCUUGCUCCCUCCGUCCUUUUCUCCGUCUUUCCUGCUGCAUUAUUUAUCGUUUCCUCUCUCUCUCUCUCUCUCUCUUUUUCUCUCUCUCGACUUCUAUCCCGUUUCUCCCUCGUGCCUCUACUCCUCGUUCCUCCUCGUACUUCUUCUCCCUCUCCCCGUCUUUUUUGCUCUCUCCUUCUCUCUUCUUCGCACCGACGUCGUCUCGUGGGGUCAGUGUCUGCUCGAUCGGAUCCUGAGCAGGAACAUACCGGCGGACGAGGAGAAAGAGGAGGAAGGAGGAGGAGGACGAUUGCAACCGUUGUGACGCGCGUUCGCGCUCGCGCACCACGUCCUUCAAGGAUCAUUUUCGGAGCGCUCCGUUUUUCGCGCCACGCGACGCGGCGGCAGAAAUGUGACGAUGUGACCCGACACGUCGACGGCAACGCAUAUCGCGAGGCACCGUCGCGAAAUCGACAGCGAGCAGAUCGAUUAUUGGCGCCGAUUGGACGCACGGCUGUCGCCCCAGGAAACUCUCUCGCUCGCUCUUUAUCACUGUCCCUCCUCGCGUAGUAUCACUUGCCUCUUUUUUUUGCUCAUUCCCCUCCCCUCUCGCCUCCUCUUUCUCGGCUAUACCAUUCCUCGUCUCUCUUCUUUUCUCGCGUGCUCUCGCACGCGCUUUUUCCAUCCGCCACUUCUGCGGUCUGCCUUGCCUCUUCCUCUCUCGCACUUUGCGGCCGCAGUCUCGCUCGCUUCGCGCCGCGUAUCUUCUCGCGAGCGAAUGCAAGAAAAAGGAGAAUCAGCGGGCGAUUGAUACCGCCGCGCGCGAAAGAGACACGCCACCUCUUGGAGAGAACGAGAUCGGACUAGCCGUGAGUUUGUGUUUUUGUUUAUCACGGACCGACUGCACCGGUAUAACUACACGCUGCACUGCACUGCUGCGCGAGAGGAAGUUGCAAGUGGACGCCCAUCGGAAGGACGAUUCGUCGCUGGAGGCGUUCGAGAAAGAUCAUCGUUCAGGAGUCAUGGUCUUCUGUUUGACGAGUACAGAACAAAUUUUGUAGCUUGAACUGAGAACGCUGUGCUGUUUGGAUUUGUGCGAAGAUUACUGGUCUUGGAAAUUUCUUCGAGGAGAAAAGGAAAAAAAGAGAGAGAAGUCUUUGAAGAAGAGACGCAUAAGAACCCAAAGAAAUAAAAGGCGGAGAUAAACACACUAGACGCUCCGAAAAUGGGUCAUGUCGGGACGACGC